CAGCGGCAGGUUUUCCUUCCAGAAGCCCAAGGCAAUAAGGGCUGGGGCCAGAAGGACCUGGAACGUCAGAUCUGAGGUCCCUACUUGAGGGGUUGGGACGGGCCCUGUGCUUGUGUGUGUCCAUCCUGAGUGGCUCUGAAAUGGAGACUUUCAGUUUCCCUUUCAGUCCCAUAUAUAUUUGGGCCCGGGAUUGUGUGUUAAUUACACACACCGCAGGUGACUGGGUCCACACGGCUAAAGAAAAGCCGGACGGUGUUCAGCUCAGAAGAUGAUUCCUUGGACAGCAGGACUGUGACCUGGCUUGGGAACAAGCUGGAGUGAGGUGAGUAACCUUCCUUAAAUAGCAGCCAGUAGAGGCCAGGAGACAGACGGACAUAUCAGGGUGAAGCGACCCCUCCUUCCGACCGGGACGCAGACGCAAGCUGGGGGGAAAAGUCUGAGAUCCCACUGCUGGCACCAUACCCAAGAAGCCUGUGGGCUCUACCCAGGUAG